rnacentral:tRNA from 1 species
GCCCGGAUGGCGGAAUUGGCAGACGCGCUAUAUUCAGGUUGUAGUAUCCUCCGGAUGUGCAGGUUCAAGUCCUGUUCCGGGCACAA